UUUUUUUUUUGGAAGUUACCUGGUGAGGACUCCUGGAAGGACAGACCAGGUGAAGCUGUAGUAGCAAGUUAUAAGUUUACAGCAGACAGUGCAGCAAUAGACUGGCAGAAACUACGUCUUUUGACCACCACUUUUCUCCAAGUGGCCUUUGCUGCAUUCUUGCACUACUUUUGUUUAAUAGACAUGGUGGGUGGGUUGUGUUAAGGUAGACACUAAACCAGAUAUGUACAAAUCUAACUAGCAGACAACCCAUGAGCUCAGUGUAGUUGUCUGAAUGCUUCCCCUAAGGGAGUGCUCGAUGCUUUGAACUUGCUCCUAAGAAGAAAAGGCAGCUUUCUGCUAACCUGAGAGCCACUGUUCUAUUGCUUAAGAAGAUUUGGACAACGUCAACAGGUUUGCCUCUUGAGAGGCCAUAAGGACAAUUUAAACAAUGUGCCAGUUGUCUGCUGACUACAGUAUUUGAAAUUUGUGUACACUCCCAUCCUUGGAAGCUGAACUUUGUAUUUGAUGUGUCACUUGCUUCAGCCAUUUGAGGAAGAAUCUUAAAGUGACUGCUGACAGACCAACCAUUAGCCGCCCAUGUCAUUCCAACUGCACUGCCUCAUUCGGAACAACUUUGGAAUGUUAAUCUCAUCUGAAGAGCAAGGUUUAAGUGCUUGUGUCAUACUUGCAAAAAUGGUUUCAGGCCCCUCAAUUCUUUUGCUUUCUGAAGAUUGGCAUGACACUGUGGCAGUCAUCCAAGGUCCACAUUUUGAAACAGGACAAGACUCUUUUACUAACCUGCACGGAAAUCCAUUUGAAGUACUGUGCAUAUUACAAGAGACUGCAUCUCCACAAGGACACUGUGAAACCACUCCAUGUGAUGAUGAAUAUAAGCAAGCUUAACAGAUGAUGAAGCUUGGGCUUUAUCCUGAUAAAAAUACACUCACUUGUAUUGUAAGUCAUAAAGCAUUAGUGUGACAUGACUAUUGCAUGUUUGUGAUCAUAUCAAGGGAUAACUCACUGCCUAUGGUGUGUGAAUGUGUUUAUAAAACUAAUAUUUUAUGAUAAUUUGUAAAUGUGGCCAAAAUAUUAUGAACUAGACUGAAAAUAUUUGUGGUGUACUGAUGCAGAAACAUUAAAAAGUAAUUUAAUGAUGUGGAAUGAAUAAUUUAGACACUUAUUUACAGAUACAUGUUAUUAAUUAAAAAAAGAUCUUCUUUUCCGAUCCCUUCAUCAGUGAACUGUCUUUGUACAGUGGUUACAAUAAAAUGGUGGAUUAUAUAUUAUUCCCCAUGCCAAAUGUGCUGGUUUAAGUCAUAGAAAGACCCUGAUUUAAAAGCAACUGAAUACACUCAGUACUAUGGAGGAGGUGUCAGAAUUGUUAAUCUCAUUAUAUUUUACCAAGCCAUUGUUACUAACCUGAUAACCAUCAAUAGUUAGAAUCAAAACCCUGCACGUUAUAAGGCUAUGUGUGACCCCAGUAAUCACUGCAACAGCUGAUUCUGGUCAUGCAAGUAGCUUCUGUAAUAUUUCUGUGAACUUUGCAGGACUCAGUCCCCAAAUUAUUCAUGCAACACAGAACAUCCAUUCCCAAUUCAGAUUCAUAAAUCCUAGCAAAGUAAACACAAGAAAUGUAUCAAUGUAUGGUACAGCUGCUCAUUUUAAAACAAAGAGAACUACUACCAACGAGGAAAUUGACUGUUUUGACUUUUACCCUUUGGAAUAAUUACAUUUUGUUUUCCAAAUAUACUGUUAAAAAGAUUUUUAAGUAAUUGUACAAAAAUGUUUAAAUAAACAAUUUUUAUUAAUGUU